UACGAAGGGGGCUAGCGUUGUUCGGAAUCACUGGGCGUAAAGCGCGCGUAGGCGGAUUGUUAAGUCAGGGGUGAAAUGCCGAGGCUCAACCUCGGAACUGCCUUUGAUACUGGCAAUCUUGAGUCCGGGAGAGGUGAGUGGAACUCCUAGUGUAGAGGUGAAAUUCGUAGAUAUUAGGAAGAACACCAGUGGCGAAGGCGGCUCACUGGCCCGGAACUGACGCUGAUGUGCGAAAGCGUGGGGAGCGAACAGG
rnacentral:rRNA from 1 species